rnacentral:rRNA from 1 species
GAUGAACGCUGGCGGCGUGCCUAAUACAUGCAAGUCUAACGCACAGCGAAAGGUGCUUGCACCUUUCAAGUGAGUGGCGAACGGGUGAGUAACACGUGGACAACCUGCCUCAAGGCUGGGGAUAACAUUUGGAAACAGAUGCUAAUACCGAAUAAAACUUAGUGUCGCAUGACACAAAGUUAAAAGGCGCUUCGGCGUCACCUAGAGAUGGAUCCGCGGUGCAUUAGUUAGUUGGUGGGGUAAAGGCCUACCAAGACAAUGAUGCAUAGCCGAGUUGAGAGACUGAUCGGCCACAUUGGGACUGAGACACGGCCCAAACUCCUACGGGAGGCUGCAGUAGGGAAUCUUCCACAAUGGGCGAAAGCCUGAUGGAGCAACGCCGCGUGUGUGAUGAAGGCUUUCGGGUCGUAAAGCACUGUUGUAUGGGAAGAACAGCUAGAAUAGGAAAUGAUUUUAGUUUGACGGUACCAUACCAGAAAGGGACGGCUAAAUACGUG